GCCGUUGUUAUUAGGCGCGGCGAGGCGGGUGGCGCGCGGCAGCAGGGUUGGGCUCUCGCCGUGAGUCGACGAAGGGAGCGCGGGCGCGCGCCCGCGUCCGCGCACUGAGAGUCGCCUCGGCCGCUCGCUUUCUCGACUCCCGCCUCGCGCCUCGAUCCUGUUCCGCCUCCCUCGGCCCUCCUGCCCGCCCCCACUCGUCGGCCCUCAGGUUCCUGGAAAGUGAAAAUUUCAUUUCUUUGUGGACAGGUACCUAAAAUGUCUCAUUAUUCAUCAAUUAAUGAAAAACAAAUGAAAAUUUGAGAGAGAUAUUCUGAAGAAUAAAAGGAUCAAGUUGGGUCAUUUCUAAAAUCUCAGAGACCUAAUAGGAUGGGGUCUUAGAGAAACAUCUUUUGAGCCACAGACUUCUUUGUUACCAGAAGGAAAAUGAAAGAAGAAAUUUAAAUACCACUUGAAGAGAGGUGAGAACCCUUUGUUAAGCUGUGUAACCUCUGUGCAUAGUUUCCUCAUCAGCAAAGUCAGAAAAAGUAUGUACCUGAAGGACUGAUUGUAAGGCUGGGAUGAGAGAAUCCAUGUGAUCAGCCCUCACCAACAGGUGCUGCCCAGUUCAUGAGUGCUGCUGCUGUCCUGCCCAAGUACCCAGCUUGCAGAGUGCCAGAGUUAGAGUCCCAGGGGUGUUCUCCACAGCUGCAUGCUUGAUCCAGGCCUAUCAGGUGUUAUUUGUUGACGGAACCAGGCAUCAUCAGCAAACAAAACUGACAAAGCUUCCUGCCCUCUGUGGAAGGCAUCUGAGGAAGAGACUGGAUUUUGUAGCAACAUGUUAUUCUCAUUAUAAACUUUAUCAUUGGAAUACUAAAGCCAAAUCAUCCCCCAUCUCCUUGAUCAGGAUACCCACUUAAUCUAGGCAGCUACACAAUUGUGAGAGCCUUUGUUUUUUUCUGCUGAAACAUCCUUAAAAAGAUACCUCACAACCCAAGAUUUGGCUUUUCUUAAAUACGAUUUUUAAUUUUUUUCAUUUCUAUCUAGAGAUUUAAUUGGAAAUGGAAAAUCAUCAAUUUUCCAAUUAAAUGUCUGUUCCAAUCAACAUUAUACCUUUUAGGUUGUCAUUGUCAUUUUUAAGUUUAAGCAACUUUAAGGAUUUUGAAUCUGGCUGCCUGUAAAUUAAAGGUGAAAGUAAUCAUUGUGUUGGAUUGGAACAUUUUGUCAAUUGAGAGUGGUUUCCUUGUUCUUAGUGUAUGAAAAGUUUAUUUUUCUAAUGUAGAUUAAUAAAGGAGAUAAAGAAAAACAAAAUGAGUGAUUUAUGUGUGUGAGAAAAGAACCAUUUCCUCAAGGAUUAAAUAAAAUUCAUACCUUUUGUUUCUUUUGAAAAGUUUUUAAAAUAAAUUUUAAUGAAUGUGUCCUUUAAAUAUUCCUUUAAAAAUGUAUCCUAUUUUAAAAUGGACUCUCUGAGAGAAGGAAUUGAUACCUGUGUUUAAAAUCAAAAAUAGCAUGCAUAGAGACUGUUUUUCUAGUUGGUUGAAGCUUUUUUCCCUCUCCUUUACAUCAGUGAACCAGCAUCUUGCCCUUCAGACCCUACAGCACACUCUUGGGCUCAUGAAGUGUAUGACACAUCCUCCUUGGGGGAUCGGCCAUGUCCUCGCUCUCAUGACCACAUGAAUUCUUCUGUAUGUCUUUUCUCACAGCUGAGUACUCUCUUCCUGACCCCCUUGUGGAAUGGGGAAAGGAGGCUGUGACAUUGUGCUUGUGCAAACAAUAAUUGAGAGCUUUCCGAGUCUCCUGCAUCUUCAUAAAUGAUUUUUUGUUUUAUGCUGGGACAGUAGUUCUUUAAAUAGAAUAUUCUCCCAUGGAAAUCGCCCACAAUGCUGAGAGUACACCUUGCAAAAGGUAAGUCUAGAAUAUAGGGUGCCUCCUCAGCAUUGCCCAGAAGCUGAAGUUAGGACUCUCUAGAAUACCAAAAACAAAUUUAUAGCAGUUCAUUAAUGUAAGGAAUUAUGAAAACUGUGUGCCACCAUUAUCCAUAGAUGAAACAAGAGCCACCACGCAAGCACAGACACAAAGCCCUGAAGAUGAAGCCAUUGACAGGGCUCUCAUUUAUUCUGUAGAAACCCACUUGCCUGUUUUUGAACCAGUUUUCUUUGGAGCAUAUGUCUCACUGUGCAACCAAAGUGGUGUUUAUAUCCUAGUCACUUGGCAAAAAUUCUGUCAUUGCUUCAGGGAGAUCCAUUUUAGGCCUGAAGCAUGGAGCUGGUAAUAGAUGGGAUUUGGUACUUCUGAAGAAAAGACCCUACUGCAAAUUUAGAGAGUUAAUUUUUUCUUUUGUUCCCCAUAAUAUUGUUGCUAGAUAGAACUACCUUUUUUGACUAGAAGUUAAAUAUAGAGGCCUAAAUCAAUUAGGUAACUCCCACUCAUUCUAAAUGAGAACAUGUUUGUUUUUCUCCAACGAGAUGAGAAAUAUUUGAGGCGCUUCCUGAUAUCUCUAUCACCCACUGCAUUUUUUCACUUGAUGUAUAUUUCCCCAUGUAUUUGGGAUAAUUUUCAAAUAAUUGCCCUUUAGAAAUCUACUUGAUAUUAAAUGUAAAAAAAAAGCAAGAUGCAAAAUUAUUAUAGGAUGCAUUUACAGAAAUUACAAAAUUUCUAUAAACUAUUUAUGGAGGAAGACUUAUAGAGUAUAUGUCAACACAUUGCUUUAUUAUUGUCCUUGGUUAUGAGUAUGGUUUUUUUGAAACCUGCUUUGUACUUUGGGUGUUUUCUCACCAUUGGUACAAUUGAGGCAUUUUUCCCUCUUCUUCAACCUUGCAAAUCACACGUGAGGAUGCUCAUAGAAGUGCCUCUCAGACAGGCUGUUGUUUUGCUUUCACCAAUAAAUCAUUUAUAAUUAGAAGUAGAAAACUAUUCUUUCCAGUGCAAAUACAUCCCUUUCAAAAGCAGUUCUCUUUUUGUGAAUGAUGUCUAGUGUCUAAGAAACGAGGGUAACCUUUAUUAUAUGCAUUGCUCUAAUCGAAGCAUUGUUUUUUGCGGUGAACUCAAGGUUACAUGUUUAAGAAAAGCAUCGGGUUAAUUCCAUUAGGAAAAGUGUCUUAUUCAUAAACCUUUAGCCACUGGAAAAACACCAUUAGGAGGCCACACAAGUGUGUAUAGCUGGAUAGAAUUUGACAACUGGCAAAACAAAACAAUAGCCUACAAUUGCAGAGUGCUGUCUGUUUAAAAACCAACAUAUCUUUCACCAACAAAUACAUAUUCACCUCAACACGAGACUUUCAUGUGGUUAUUAAUAUCAAAUUUUUGAAUGUCCAAAUUUUGGAGUGUAGUCUAGCAGAGGUAAACUGAUUUGCCUAAGGUCCUUCAACUGUCAGAGGUAGAAUUAUUUUCUCUCUCCUGGCUCUAAAACCUGUCCAGAUUCUCCUGCAACACUGUCCUUCAAAAACACACUUCCGCUGACUCCAGUGCUGGUGAUGUCAUGCUUUAGCUAGUAGUUAGAGGUGACUUAACUUUAAAUAUGGAAUCUUUUUUUCCUAUUAAGCAAUGAGGUUUAGUUUGAAAAUUCUUAGAGAUGAUAAACCCCUCUCCUUUUUUUCUUCCUUCUCCUCUUUUGUCCUGAACAAUGUUCCAUAUAUAUUACUGCCAGAAACAGAUUCUUGACAUUCCUGUUAUGCUUUUCCACAUCUUGUAAUCAUUUCUACAGCUGUUAGCAUUGCCAACAAUUAUAUUUCCACUUUUAAAAAAUUGUUACAAAGAUGCAGAGAGAAAAGAGGAAAGCCAAGGAAUAAACUACAGGCAAUUAUGGGAUAUUUUUGUGAUGUGACAUUUUGGGAACUGAGGCAGCAUCACUGAUACUGCACUACUUUUUAAUAUCUAGAUUUUAAUCUUUUGUAUGAAGAUAAAAUUCACAUGCCUUAAACCUGACCACAACAUAAUAGGGCAUUUAUUUUUCUAAUUUUGAUACCAUCCACAUUUCUUAACUAUAAGAAGAAUGCUUAUGUUGUACCAGGUUAUAUGAUGUUGCCAAGAAGUAGAUGUGUACCAUUUACUAAUACAUCCUUUUGGAAAAUGCGUAUUAAUAACAUAUUAAGGAGUAAAUUGACGUUGUGCAAAGUGAGCCUGUGAGUUUAAAUGUAUGGAUUGUACACCUUGCUCUUCCUAAUUGCAGAUUUAACAGGAUUUGAUGACCUAAUGAGUUUAUUUCUGAAUGAUUUAUAUUUCUUUGUCAGUUCAAUGAUUUAGUAUUUUAAAUUUUUUUAAAUCACAUUUUAUUGAGAUAAUGCUAUUAGUGUUUCUUUCCCAUCACUUAACAAAGUUAAGUCACUCCUCUCCCACCCCACUUUUGUACCUACCAAUGUUUUUUUCACAGUUACAGGCUGAUUGGCUUGACGUGUCUUAGGAUACCACCCAAAGAGAGCUUCAUUUUAUAAAUACCAAGCUCAUUUUCCUAAAUAUUUUCAAAAAGAUAGAUUUAUCCUCAUAUAGUAAAUUCAGAUUAAUAAUUUUGGAAAGGGUCAUGUGACCAUGGUAUUACAUGGCUGUGGAAGACCCUCCAAGAUCUUGUUUUGGGAUAGAAGGACUCAGACAUCCAAACUUUUAAAUUAAUGAACUUAUUAAAUUCUAAAACUUUGUAACAGUGUUAAUUUGAGAAGUAUAAUAUUUUGCUUAAGGUCUGUUUUGCUUUGCAAAAUGCAUCUCCUUCAUUUUCAUAUUAUGUUGGAAGCUUAGCAUGAAAGAACGUGCCUCAGAGGAAACCAUAGGUAAGCAUACUUUAACAAAAGUUAGUGUCAUCAUGUUUGUGUCUUUGCCUGUGGUUUUUUAAAUGUAUAAUGUUUAACGUUGAUUUGGCUAUCAAAUUACAUUUUCUUUUGUUAAAAAAUUCUGUAAAUUAGAAAUGUACUGAAUCAUUUAUUUAGCAGACUGAAGGUGGGUAAUGUUGGCUGAACAGGUUUAAGCCACAGUAAUUUGAAAAUGUAAAUACAUAAAAUAAUGUCAUUUCUCUUCCACUCAAUGUUUCUUCACCAAAUAAAGUCCAGCCUGCUCUGAAUUUGUUGCCAGUAGGAACAAUGUUACAGUGAAUCAUGGUUUAAUAUACCUUGAAAAUGGCACAUCUGUUCUGUGAUAGCUUACCAAUUUUAGCCUCUUUAUAAAAUACGAAGAGUUUGUCAACCAGAAUAAUCUAGAACCUGGCAAUUCAAAUACCAUUCAAAGCAAAUGUUUUAUCUAAUAACUGGAACUAAAUGUUAGGCCUCAUGACAGUUCAAUAUUUACUAAAUAAGUUUAAUAACAGGGUAAGCCCUCAGUAUCCAGAGCAGAGACAAGCACACCAUAUUUACACAUACAAAUUCUGCCUUUAGCCAUCUGAAAGGGCCCCGAACUAUUGCAGCAAGCAAAGAGUCUUUGCAUUGUCCUAAAAUCCAUACAAUACUUUAUAUUUUACACAUUUUAAUAGCUAGUUUAACAAAUAACAAGUACCAUGCUUAAUUCUCUGCAUGCAUUAUUUCAACUAAUUAUUGGAAUAAUCUUAUAAAGUGGGUACUUUCGUCUCAGCUUACAGGUGAGAAAACAAAAGUUAAAUAGAUCGCCCAGGGCUCUGCUGGAACGUGUUAAGCAGGGAUUUCAGCCUGUCCAGUCAGACCCCAGAAGUUGUGUUCUUAACCAUUAGCAACACAUCAUCCCAGGCAGGCCCUACAUGAGCCUCAUAACCAAUUUUAUGCUGGAUAGUAUUAUCCCUAUUUCACAGAUGGCAAAACUGAGGUCCAGAGACUUUAAGUGACCUACCCAAAAUUACAGUCAUGAGCAGAGGCACUGGAAUGUAGGGCCUUGACACUCUACCUCACGUGGUCCUCUUUCCUGUUUUGGGUAGUUCUCCACUACCACUACUCAUUUCUGAUGCUGGAAAGGCUGUGUUUUAUACAUUUCUGUUUCUGGCUUGGAACGAAACACUCUGGGUCUCUGCUUGAUCAGUGUCCCCUCUAAACUGCACCUCACUACAGUAGGGAUGGCAUAAGAUACUUCUUUACACAGCAUCUUUUUGUUCCCACCUCACCCCCAGAGCUGUAAUAGGUAGAGCCAGCCAAAUGUCAAAGGGAUGAUUUGUCUUGUCACCACUAGUUUCCCUUUUCUCUGCCUUGUAUGUAACAGGAAUAUUCUUUAGUUCCUCCUUAUGUUCUAAAGCACCUCCCCAACCUAAAAAUAGAAGAGGAGUUGUGGGUCAUUUACACUUUAGUGUGAAUUUGCCCUUGUGACUUUGCCAAGGCUGUUGUGCCUAACCCUUUCAAUCUAACAGCAGAAUGAGAGUCUCUGGACUAUCCUGGCUCCUUCCCUGAGAAGAAUGAACUGGGAAUUGUUGGUCUAGACAUCAAGACUACCAGAGACCUAUUGCUCAGAGAUGUUUGGGCUGUACAAUUUCUGUAGAUAUGGCAUCUGGAGCAGCCUUUUCUAAGCAAUGGCAUUAUCAUUCCAGGCUCUCUCGCUCUUUCCAUCUCUCCACCAGGUGGACUCUUGCCCUCCACCCCUUCCAAUUUGUCAGUGAUUCAGAGAACAUUCUCCAUCCUUCCAAUGAUUACAUUCCUUCAUCUUGCUGGGGCGCCAAUUCAGUGAUGGAGCGGCUCUUGGGAGCAGCCUUGGCUUAUAGUGCAGCUCUCUGCUACCUUCAACAGGCUGGUAUUCGGGGUGCUUAGAUGUGACUGGUUGUACGCACGUGUGUGUAUGUGCAUGUGUGUACAGCAGUAAGAGCUUUCGAGGUAGAUACUUGAGGAAGCCUCAGACAUCUAGCCCCAUUACUGGGGCAAUGUCUUACUUGGGUUUUUCCAGAAACAGACCUGGAGACCAGGAUUCAAGUGCCAGUGGUAUAUUUGGGAUGUGAACCCUGCAAUGCUGGUAGGAGAGUGGAGAAGUGAGGCAAGGAAAGGAAGGCCGUCAAGGGGCGUGUUAGGAGGUCAUUCACCACCGCAGGUAGCCCGCUGGGGACCUCUGGGAGCAAGUGUGGCGCACAAGCCUCAGCAUUACUGCCCUGUGCCUUGAGGAGUAAGGGAUAAGGAUUUUCCCCACCAGUUCCCUGUAGUCCUUGGUGAGAGCUUCUGGGGUGGAGGUUAAGGUCUUUAGGUCAGAGAAAUUUUCUUUAGUUUCGGAAAAAUCUUUCAGGCCGAGGUCCAGACACUCACUGGAACACACUGAAGUGGUUAGGUCCAAGGGCUGUAGGCAGAGCUCCCAUAUCCAUCUGCAGAGGUGUUUCAGGUGGAAGGAGUGGAGACAGCCUUCUCUGCUCCACACUGUCUUCAGCAAGGGUUUCUGUAUCUGUGCAUUGAGGAUUAAAUUAUUCACAUGGUCAGAGAAGCCCAUCACCACUGAUAGUUAUUGUAGGUAUGGAAAACUAACGACUAAGAAGGGAGAAAAAUAUACCAAGCAGUUGGCUUGGCUGAACACAAGUAAAGACUCUUACAGUCACUGGUGUGAACUGCUUAUUAUCAAUGUCUGAUUACAGUGCUGCAUACUAAUGAUUAUGCAUGUCAUUAAAUGUGUCAGAUUAACUUUGUUAUAAAAUUUAUGACAACAUUAAAUUUUAUUCACAUGCUCAGCCUUCAUAAUUUAUUGCUUAUGUAGCAUGGUUUUAACUUCAGAAAAACCUCCAAGACAGUGUUGUCUUGAUGACUACACUGCUUAUCCGUGAGUCUAGUUUUCCUGUUCAUUUGAAAUGUUCACAUUACAUUCAGCUCUGUCUCAAGCACUGAGACAGAGCUGGAAUCAGUGCCCAGCGAUUCCACUUGCCGAGUGAUUGA
rnacentral:lncRNA from 1 species